rnacentral:lncRNA from 1 species
UAGCCCCUCCCCCCCUUUUCUUUCAGCCGAACCCUAGGUCCUCCCUUCUCAAGUACCAAACCGCCAUCAAGAACGGCGUCUCACGCUUCUGGCUUCGAUUUACUGCUCUUUGGCCUCAAAACCCCCCUUUAGCUUCGAUUUCGACGAAGCAAGAGUGGAUCGGUAGCCAAAUCGCACGGUAUAGCCUCUUUUUCUCUCUUUCUUUGCUUUCUAUUAUAAUGAUGAAUGGAUCGAAGGAAAAAUGAACCCUGGAAAUGCAAAAGCUUCAAGAAAGUUUAGCAAAAAUCACCUUUUUUUCUAUUUGGUUGCUUUGUAUUGCUUGUGUGUAAAAAAAAAAGACCUUACAAUCGCUGUGUUCUUGGCUUUUAUAGCCGAAAUAGAAAAAAGAAUAAAAUAAAUACAAUUUUUCUCUUUCUUUUUUUUGCUGCUGUUGUGUUUGUCUCGUUCGUUUGCAGGUACGGAGUACGGGGCAUACGUUGGCCCUUGGCGUGAGGCGUACGGAGGCGCGGACGUGGUUGAGGCCGGUUUUAUCAUUGAGCUUGGUGUAUUGGACUGUAAACUGGACAUUUAAUGGACUGUUAACAUUUAGAUUUUUUGUUUAUUUUAUUUGGGCUUUAAUGUAGACCCGAGCAAAUUGGCCCGUUUACAACUGUCCCUCUUUGCUCAUUGUCGUGUAACGAGAAUAGAGCAAAGACUUCAAAGAGGGCCAACUUUGCCUUGUUCCGGUCCUCUGCAACUUUAGGGAUAUAGGAAUUAUUGCUCCUAUCUGCUCUGCUGUAACUCUAGAGAAACUAGCCUUGUAGCUUUUAAUUUUCUCUACUGCAACUACUCCACUGCAACUUCAGAGAGAUAAGAAUUGCAAAUUACAGCCUGUUACCCUACCACUUAAGGGGUUAAGGCUUGCUUUCUUUGAUUUGUUCCACUGCAACUUCAGGGAGACAAGAUCUGCAAUUUUCAGCCUGUUACCCUACUACUUAGGGGGUUAAGGCUUACUUUCUUUGAUUUGUUCCACUGCAACUUCAAGGAGACAAGAUCCGCAAUCUUCAGCUUGUUACCUACUACUUAGGGGGUUAAGGCUUGCUUCUUCGAUCUGCUCCACUGCAACUUUAUGGAGACAUGGUUCAUGUAUUUUAUAUUGCUCUACUACAACUUUAGAGAGAUAAGGAUUGUGACUCCGAUCCGAUCUACUGUAACUUCAAGGAGAUAAGAUCUGCUGCUUUCGGCCUGUUACCCUACUACUUAGGGGGCUAAGGCUCACUGUCUUUGAUUUGCUCCACUGCAACUUCAAGGAGGUAAGAUCUGUGAAUUCACUAAUGUUGCUACACCAUUCUCUAGGGACAUGAUCUGUAGAAUUGCUUUCAUGUAUCUAUGCUCAUGCCAAAUAAUUAGGAUGCCAUGAUCAAAAAUGAGUCAAAUGCUCCUAACUAGAUGAAUGAUUAUGAAUGCAGAAAUGUUGUGAAAAUGAUUCUUUUUUAAAUGCUUAAGGUAUCACUGCUCAUAGUUCGCCAGGGUUCUAUCAUUGAUAUGCCACCAUGUCUUCUUGUUUAGCCGGAAUCUUUGACAGAAGAUUUGAAGAAAUAGUCACAAUUUGGACUAUUCUUUUUCAAAUGCUUCCAACUUUUGAACCUGGUUAGUCCUGACUAAUGACCCUGUUUUAAGUCCUUGUACUAUUUAGAGACUUUCCAGAGUAAUAUGUAUAACUUCUUUUGUGUGAAUAUUAUAAAUUCAAAAAUCGUGAUUUCAACAAAAAUGUUCGAAAGAGAUUCUCAUAAUAAACAAGAUGGAAUUUUAUUGAGCAAAACUCAAAGUGAAUAAAUUAAACAGGAUAGCAGAUCUGUUAGGGUACAAAAUAAGAUGAGAAAAAGGUGCCCCAGAUAUCGCAGCACGAGCUUCACUAUUCCAACUUCUCAAAGGCCAUUUCGAGCUAAAUAUGUGUUCAGGAGAUCCUGCGUAUUUCGUUGAUGCUCCAAGAUGUACAAUUCUUCCCACUUGUUAAUUUUGGGAAGAAAAGACUACUACAUGCCCCAUAUUCAAAAUUUGAGCUACCCGUUUUUGGGUUUUCAACUCAAAAACCCCUUUGGUCUCAAAGUGCCCUUUGUGAGUUUUCACAUUGGCCUCUCCCAUUUUUUUUUUUAGGUAUCAAAGUGCCCUUUACGGGUUUUCACAUUGGCCUCUCCCUCUUUAGGUAAAAUACUUUUUGACGGAAUCUGAAUUCAUAGGAUUAGGCAAGUUUUUCCCAUCCAUUUCGACUAUAAUUAAUGCUCCUCCGGAGAAAGCUUUCUUCACCACGUAAGGCCCCUCCCAAUUACGCAUCCUUUUUUCCUCUAAAAUCCUUCUGUAUUGGAAGGAUCUUUUUCAAGACUAGGUCCCCCUCAUGGAAUUCCCUCGGGCGAACCUUUUUAUCAUAGACUCGUAUCAUUCAUUUUUGGUACAUCUGACUAUGAAGAAUAACUCUUAGCCUCUUUUCUCCAAUCAAGUUCAAUUGAUCGUAUCGAGACUGGAUCCACGCUGCUUCAUCUAACUUUAACUCUGAAAAUACUCAAAGGGAUAGGAUUUCGACUUCGAUUGGCAAGACCGCUUCCAUUCCGUAGACCAAAGAGAAAGGCGUUACCCCAGUAGAAGUCGUGACUGAUGUCCGAUAAGCCAAGAGGGCAAAUGGUAACUUCUCAUGCCAAUCUUUGUAGGUCUCAGUCAUCUUCCCCACAAUCUUUUUAAUGUUUUUAUUGGUCGCUUUCACCGCCCCAUUCAUUUUCGGGCGAUAUGGUGACGAGUUGUGGUGUCUGAUCUUGAAUUGACUGUAGACUUCUGCUAUCGUACUAUUGUUCAAGUUUAAUGCAUUGUCAGAUAUGAUCCUCUCUGACAUUCCAUAUCGACAUAUGAUUUCUUUUUUUAGGAAUUUGCUCACUGCCGACUUUGUAACAUUGGCAUAUGAAGCGGCUUCUACCCAUUUGGCGAAGUAAUCGAUUACCACAAAGAUGAACCGAUGCCCAUUGGAAGCUUUCGGUGAUAUUGGUCUAAUCACAUCUAUACCCCACAUAAAGAAAGGCCAUGAGGGAAGUCAUGACAUACAACGGUGAAGGAGGCACAUGAAUUUUGUCUCCAUAGAUCUGGCAUUUAUGACAUCUCUUGGCGUAAUUGACGCAGUCUCCUUCCAUAGUGGACCAAUAAUACCCGUAUCUCAUAAUUUGCCUAGCCAUUGUAAAGCCAUUAGCGUGCGUCCCACAGACGCCCUCAUGGACUUCAUCCAAGAUUUUCUUAGCCUCUACAGCGUCUACGCAUCUCAAUAGCGCUUGAUCCUUUCUUCUUUUGUAUAGGAUCUCCCCAUCUAAGACAUAGUCAAUGGCCAAUCUUCUCAGUGUUCUUUUGUCAUUCUCGCUUACCUCGUCCAGGUAUUCACGAUUCUUUACGUAUUGCAAUAUAUCGUGAUACUAAGGGUGAUCAUCUUUUUUUUUUCAUCUUCUUCAAUAUUGUAACAGUGGGCCAGAGUUUCAUAAAUGCUCAUCCGGGUGGGUUUGACAUCUUCUUGUUUGUUCACCUUGAUCAUGGAAGCUAAGGUGACCAAAGCAUCGGCCAUCUUAUUCUCGUCCCAUGAAAGGUAGCAGAAGGUAAUGUCAUCGAACUCUUUAACCAAUUCAAGGACCAGUUUUCGAUAAUCAAUCAACUUGGGAUCUCUGGUCUCCUAUUCUCCCUUGAGUUGAUAAAUCACUAGCGCAGAAUCUCCAUACACCUCUAGCACUUUAAUUUUACGUUCUAUGGCUGCACAGAUACCCAUGAUACACGCUUCAUAUUCUGUCAUGUUAUUCGUACAAUCAAAAUCCAAUUUACUAGUAAAUGGAUAAUGAUCUCCGUUUGGGGAUACCAAGAUUGCCCCGAUUCCAUUACCCACAGCAUUUGACGCCCCAUCGAAGUUUAGUUUCCAAGGAAGUUCUUCCAGAUCACCUUCUUCAUUGGUAGCAAUACACAUCAGGUCUUCAUUCAGGAAAUCGAAGUUCAAGCGCUCAUAGUCUUCUAAAACUCUACUGGUCAGAAAAUCUGCUAUUGCACUCUCUUUUACUGCUUUCUAAUUUAUAUAGACUAUGUCGAAUUUGGAGAGCAGAAUUUGCUAUCGGGCCAUCCUUCCAUUCAAAGCUGUUGACUCCAUAAUGUACUUUAAAGGGUCCAGUUUUUAGAUGAGCCAAGUAGUGUGAUACAACAUAUACUGCCUCAACCUUCGGGUUGUCCAAACUAGGGCGCAACACAACUUUUCUAUCGGCGGGUACCUUGUCUCACAUUCAGUGAACUUUUUACUAAUAUAGUAAAUAGCCUUUUCUUUCCUUCUUGACUCAUCAUGCUGACCCAGUACGCAUCCCAUAGAAUUCCCAAAUACUGCUAAAUACAGUAUCAAUAGCUUAUUGGGGUUCGGUAGCAUCAGCACCGGAGCGUUGGAUAAGUAGUGUUUGACCUUGUCGAAAGCUUUUUGGCAUUCUUCAUUCCAUUCACCUGGGUUGUGUUUCUUGAUGAGGAGGAAAACAGUGUCACAUUUCUCAGUUAGUUGUGAAAUGAACCGAGCGAUGUAAUUUAAUCUUCCUAGAAAGCCUCGAACCUCUUUUUGGAUACACGGCGGAGAUAGCUCUUGUAUGGCUUUGACUUUGUCUAGAUCAAUCUCAAUCCCUUUCUCACUAACCACGAAUCCGAGAAGCUUUCCAGACUUAGCUCCGAAGGUACAUUUGGCUGGAUUGAGUUUUAGCUGAAACUUCCUCAACCUUAAGAACAACUUCCUUAGGACUUGUAUGUCCUCAUUCUCUGUUCGGGACUUUGCAAUCAUAUCAUCGACGUAAACUUCGAUUUCUUUGUGCAUCAUGUCGUGAAAAAGGGUUACCAUGGCCCUUUGAUAUGUUGCACCUGUAUUUUUCAGUCCAAACGGCAUCACCUUGUAGUAGAACGUGCCCCACAUGGUUACAAAUGUGGUCUUCUCCAUGUCUUCAGAAUGCAUCUUGAUCUGGUUAUAUCUAGAGAAAUCGUCCAUGAAUGAAAACAGUGAGUGUCCUGCUGUGUUAUCCACUGAGGUGUUAAUAUGAGGUAGUGGGAAAUUAUCUUUCGAGCUGGCUUUGUUCAAAUCUCUAUAGUCUACACACAUUCGUACUUUUCCAUCCUUCUUUGGAAUGAGAACAAUGUUGGGUACCCACUCUGAGUAUUUUACCACCUUUAAAAAUCCAGCUUCAAACUGCUUUCUAGCUUCUUUUAUUUUUAGCAAAACGUCGGGUCUCAUUCUUCGGAGUUUUUGCUGAACUAGCUUACAUUCUUCCUUUAUGGGGAGUCGCUGCACCACGAUAUCAGUGUCCAACUCAGGCAUGUCUUGGGAUGAUCAUGCGAAGAUAUCUUUGAAUUCUUGAAGUAAUUCGAUAAGGUCUCGCUUCAUCUCCAUGGUGAUACAAGUUCCAAUCUUCACCUCUUGCCCCUCUCCUAAGCUCACAAUUUCUAUUGAUACUUUGUGAAGUAGGAUUUGUUUCUCGUCUUAUUCUAUCAUCCUCAACAAAUCAAGAGAUAGGUUAUAGCCUUGGUCAUCUUCGAAAUCUUGAGAAUCCUCCAUACACAUAUCUCGCUCAAAAGGAGACUCUGAGCGCUAGUAGUGUCACUCAUAUCAUUGAUAUCUGGGGACUCGUUAUGAGGAUAAAAAAAUACAAAGAACCAAAAGAAUUUAAGAAUACUUAUCUGUAUGGUAUGAUUAUGAAUGAAGAAUGAAAGAAUAUUUAGAAGAAUUUCUGAAAAAGAAUCUGAAAGUAAUCAUUUGUAUAAUAUGAUUAUGAAUGAAAUUGAAAGAAUAAAAGAAUAUCUGCUCAAACUACGUAUUUCAUUAAAAUCACGUUUUUGAACAUAAGCCUAUUUCACAAAAGUUCUUAUUACUAUUAGGCCUAGAGCAAUAAGUGUGUUUUGGACAUUACUCUGAGUCAGCUCUAAAAACUACAGGAAUCUCUUCCGCAGUCUAGUUAUCCAGAACACUUCCAAGUAUGCAGGGGCAAAUGCCCGACAAAUUUUCUCCUCCAACCUCUUCUUCGUAUGUGGCGUUGAUGUCUAAGCUUUCUAACAUUUCUUCUAUGGCUUCCUUUCUGGGAGUGCCUCUCUCGGGAUGAAUGAUUCCCCCGGACAUAAAAGUUUUCGAUAUAUGGGGGAAUAUCAUCGGCUCCAAUUUGAUUUCCCCCUGUUAACCGUGCUCUCCUUCUUUCUUGUUUCUUUUCCAACUCCUUUUUCUGUUGUCUCACGUCUACCUUAAAUCCCAAGACAAAGUGGUCUCUCUUGUCCUUCAAUACUGGCGUUUCAACCCUUACUUGAAGAUGUCUCCCAAGUCCUCUUCCGAGUAGAGCUCCUUUCCCAACCGUCAACUGUAGACUCAUCCUUAUAGUUCUGGAUAAUUUUGGCGUCAAAAUCUUGCUUCCUUCCAUAAUGAAUGUCGCAUUAACAAAUUCCAAAGACCAAAAUGAGCAUUCGAUUGCUUCGUCAUCUAUCUCCAAAUAGGGUGCAUCAUUACUUACAGCUGCAGUGAUAUCCUCUUCAGCAUUUAUCGUUAUCAAUCACCCAUCUGACACUAACUUCAACUUUUGAUGUAACGAGGAAGGCACUGCCCCAGCUGAAUGUAUCCAGGGUCUCCCCAAUAAGCAGUUGUAUGAGGGCUUGAUAUCCAUCACUAGGAAAUCCACCUCAUAUGUGUUUGGCCCGAUCAGAAGAGGUACCUCAAUUCUUUCUAUCACCCUUCUCUCCGUACCAUCAAAUGCUUUCACUAUGUUUUGGCACUCUUUCAUGUGAGAAUUGUCUAUAGGGAAUCUGUUUAGUAUAAACAAUGGUAGAACGUUCAAGGCUGACCCAUUGUCAAUCAGUGCGCCUGGCAGCGUAUACCCUUUACAGCGCGUGGUGAUGUGUAAAACUUUAGUCGACCCCCUGCCACCGGGUGGUAUCUCGUCGUCUUUGAAGAAAAUAAAGUUAUCGGUACUUAUGUUGCUAACUAAGCGGUCUAGCUUGUUGACGAAGAUAUCAUUAGCAACAUAUGUUUCAUUCAAGACCUUCAUCAGCGCGCUGCGAUGGACUUCCGAACUUAGGAGUAAGGCCAGCAUAGAGAUACGAGCUGGUUGUUUACGUAGCUGUUCCACCACACUGUACUCGCUGUGCUUUAAGAAUUUUAAAAACUCCUUAGCCUCCUCCUCGUUAAUUGGCUCAUUAACAGGAAGUUCAGUUUUGGUCGCUUUUUCCUUCAUCUCUUCGACCACUAGGGCUUUUCCUUUUACGGGCUGUGCCUUCUCGCUUGCUGUAUCGUAACGUCUCCCAUUAUGUGUAUAGGAGCCCUUAUAUUGGUCCUCUUUUGAAGCGUCAACCAGGUUCUCUUUUCCUGGGAUCGUCACGUUACAGUUGUAAUUCCAUGGGACCCUCUUACUGUUUUUAUACGGGAAGACUGUAGGUCUUUGGAUUAUAACUCUCGGUGGCAUUUGCACUCCUGCUUCAUUAUUUUUGGGUCGCGAUAUGAUGACCACGAGGUAGUUAACUGUUUGGUUCUGUGCCGUCGAUUUUCCCUCUGAUGUACAUAUAUCUCCCUCUACGGGGUUUUUGGUUUCUUCAUAAAACUCCAUUUCCUUAUUGUUUAUCAUGUCCUGUACGAGGGCCCUGAACUCCACACACUCUUGAAUUUCAUGCCCCACCUAGUUGUGAAACUCACAGUAGUUCCUCUCUUUUUCAAAUCCUUCUCUCGAAUUCAACACGAUCCUUCAUCUCUUGACCAUCUCCUUCCACACUCGUCUUAAUGGGGUCCUGACUUCUGCAACCUCAUACUUGAUCUUCUUGCUUCUGCCUUCGCUUAUCCCGUUUACUCCUUGGUCGGUAUGAUUGGGGAGCGGGUUUUCUGCUACAUUAAGUACGGUUGGGUCAUCAAAUCUUACAAUCCCCAUUUUGAUAAGUCUUUCGACCAGCUUCUUGAAGGCGGUGCAAUUUUUGAUCGAAUACCCAGUGAUUCCCGCAUGGUAUUCACAUUGGGCAUUUAUGUCAUGCCAUUUAGGAAACGGAGGUUGCAGUGGCUUCAGGUAAAAAGGGGACACUAUAUGAGUGUUGAAUAGGUUCUGGUACAGCUCCCUAUACGUCAUGGGCAUAGGCGUGAACUGUGGUCUUUCUGUAUUCUCCCUCGUAUUGGAUUCUUGUCUCACAGUACUAUGUUGAUUGGUGGUCACCGUUCUUGGUUGAUUUACAAUGAGUGACUUGGAUUGGCCCUUACUGAAUGUACUCGUGUUGUUCACUUCGUUAUCUCUUUUCCUCGGGGCUGACCUUUUGGUACUUUCUCCUGCUUCUAUUUUACCGCUCCUCACAGCGUUUUCAAUCAUUUCACCCGUCAUCACUAUGUCUGAGAAGCUUUUAGUGGCACUUCCCAACAUAUGAGUGAUAAAAGGGGCCUUCAAAGUGUUGAUAAAGAGCAUCGUGGUUUCCUUUUCUAGAAGUAGCGGCUAAACUUGUAUGGCAACUUCUCUCCAUCUUUGCGCAUACUGUCUAAAACUUUCAUUUGAUUUCUUCUCCAUAUUCUGGAGAGUGAUCAUGUCGGGGGUCAUGUCCGUCACAUGACUAUACUGUUUUAUAAAGGCUUGAGCUAGGUCUUUCCACGAGUUAAUUUUAGCACGGCUCAAUUGGUUAUACUAUUUAGAUGCUGCUCCAACCAGGCUGUCCUGAAAGCAGUGAAUUAAUAGCUGGUCGUUGUUGACGUAUCCCGUCAUUCGCCUGCAAAACAUAGUGAUAUGAGCUUCGGGGCAGCUCAUUCCAUUGUACUUCUCAAAUUCAGACAUUUUGAAUUUGAGGGGAAGGACCAAGUUUGGGACCAAACUCAGGUCCUUAGCAUCAAUCCCGUGAUGACUAUCGGGGCAUUUUUCCUCCAGCCAUUUACACCGUUCUCCCAAUUGUUUCUAUGAUUCCAUCCUUGUCUUCUCUUCUUCUGUGAUUUCAUCCAAAUCGGGAACAAAAGGAUAAUUUGGGUUAUUAACAGGGUUAAAGCCUGAGCUGACUUGAAAAUUCAUCGGUAUCGAAGGUCCGACCUGAAUCUACUGAACUAUGAUCGUAACAGAUGGUCUUUGUAGAUUAAUCUCAGGUUGUAUCGGUACAUGUGUCGGAGUGAAGCCAGGAGGGUAUUGAGGGUCUUCAUUAGUUUCCCCAACAUUGUCCAUGGGACCCUUUCCUUUAUCCAUUCUUCCCAUCAGCAAUUGGGACAAUUGACUCAUCAUCUCUCUUUGGGAUUCCAUCAUUUGCUCUUUCAUCUCUCGUUGAAUCUUAGCUAGCUGCUCUUGCAUCUGUGACUGCAUCUGUUCCUGCAUAUCCUUUUGCAUUUGCUCAAAUUUCUCAAGUCUUUUAUCCAUUGACUUUUUCCUUGUACCAUAGAGGUGCGUACUUGGUUGGUUUUCGUUGAUUUCUAGAUUACUGAAAUGAUUUUUAAUUAAUUAGAAACCUUUUAUGACUUUUCAUGCAUAAUGAUGUGAUGUAAUGCAAAUGCAUGAAUGCAAAUGAGGCAUCAAUUUUGAUUCAAUUCCCUUUAGAAAACUUCACUAGAAAAUAAAAUUCUUUUACAUAAAGCUGAGUUACAAAUAAAACUUCGCUCUAAUGCUCAAAGUCUUAAUUUUCCUAAGCAACGAGGCUAGCUCUUGCCCGCGAUCUGACUCCAACUCAUACUUUAUGCUCAGUGUGUCCGCUUGUACCGCUAAAGCUUGUAAGUAAUCAGCUAGCUCCCGAAUCUGGGUUAUGGCUUCCCUCAUAAGGUAAUCCUUGUUUCUGACUUGGUCUUGCGCGUGGUGAAGCUGCUCCUUCCAAUGCUUCUCAUUUACCUCGAAAACUGAAUCCGCAUCUCACAGUUUUGUAGUGACGCUUCUAAUUCUUCUACUUUUCCUUUCGUUUCUUCUACCUUGCUCAAACUUGCCCUCAACUCUAUUACGGUAUUGCAGUUUCGAUACUGAUGAAGAGACUUCUCGAGUUCUGCCACUCUAGCCCUUAAUUCACCUCGUUCAUUUCUGCUUUCUGAUAGACUCUUCUCUAAAUAUUCAUUUCGUGCUUAAGCUUCUCGGAAUUUCCUUUUCCAUCGGUCGGCUUUGGUCUUUUCCGCUUGAAUUUCAUGGUGCCAUUGUUCGGAAGUUUUACCUAACCCCGCAGUCCUCAUAGAUAGGCGUAGCUUCUUUUAAUCAGUCUUUAAGCUGUCUAGAUCUUCUUCGUCCUUACUUUUCCCUUUUCUCCACUUCUCAGCCUCUAACAUUUGAACAUCAACCUCUAAUCUCAGAUGCAUCAUCUCUUCCUCCAAUUGUUCGAUCUUUUUCCCAAACUCAGAACUCUUCUUUUCAAAGUCUUGCUUUAUAAUUUCCAAUUCUGAUGGGGCGAUUUGUAAUUGUUCCACCAUAAGUCGAGUAUCUCCCAAACUUGGUCUAGGAACAUUAUCAUUAACCAUCUUCCUAAACCAUCCAUCAUACUCGGGCGUCACAAUGGAACCAACAACCAACCCCUUCAUCCAACGAGUUUGCUUCUAAGCAUCAGACAGUUCCUGAACCUUCUUCUUAUAAUGGUUACCUUUAAAGGAGAAUUCACACUGAGCAAGCCCGUAUGUCGCAGGUACAAACUGCCUCGAUUUAUACUGUCUUAAUGUAAGCAACGGAGUAUAUCCAAUAGCUCCCCAAAUUCCUAACAACGGCACCCAAUCAAAGUUUCCACAUCGAUACAUGAUCUCGUCAGGAACCAUCCAAUAAGCUCUCCACUCUAUAUCCCCCUCCUUGAGGUUUUAGAGGAUUUCUAUCCACUUCUCCUCUGAGAUAUCCUCUCUCCUUUGUAUGGCUUCCUCCUCUUUUAACAGGGAAUAACCUUCGGAAAAGACCUAAUAAGAAACUUUGUCUACCUUCCAAAAGUGUCAAUGAAACCAUAUCAUCAACAGUUGUGCACAUCCAAUAAACCGCCCCUCGUUCAUCUUCCGACAUGUGCUCAAGGAUCUGAACGUCUCGGCCAAUAUUGCUGGUACAGGUGUGAUUCCCUUCUCAAGACGAUCGAAUAGGUCAAUGAUUGCCUCGUCCACGUGCCUUAAAGCCUUAGGAAGAAUUACCAAUCCAUAGAUGCUUAAGGCGAAGAUAUCAACCCUCUUUCUUUCAUCUGGAUGCGUUAAAACCAAAUCUCGCAAAUUCUCCCAAGAGAUACAUUUACUAUCUCCUUUUUGUUGAAUCCGAGCAGUGACCCAAGGCUCGCUCAUCCCUAAAAACCCUGGCAUAAGUCUUUCUAACUUGAACUUUUGGACACCUGAGCAGGGUAGUAUAUUCCUCUAUGGUAGGUAUUAAAGCUACUUCCCCAAAAGUGAAACACUUGUAAGCAGAAUUCCAAAACUGAACCAUAACUCGAAACAGGUACUUGUCCACCUUAAUAUCUAGCAAGUAAGAUAUAUCACCAUAGCUUUGAUAGAACAACUGUUUGGUCCUUUCAUUCCAACGAGCCCUUAUAUCUCUCAACUCUUGCAACUCAUUCUGUGCUACAUUGACGCGAGUGAAUUCCUGCAACUCUGACGUAUAUCCUUCUGCUAAGCUAUCCCCUCUCUUUGAUUGUAACUUCUCUGACCAUGCGCGAACGGCUGCGUUAUCCACAACUUUAUUAAGAAAUUCAUUCUCCAUGUCAAACUUUCUAACUUAGUAAUCAAAUACGAAUAAACACCUCAUUUAGUAUGCAAUGUCAUGCAAAACACAAUCAAAACAAAACACAGGUUAGUAUCAAAUAAUAGUGAUAAAAUGUAGGUACAUAAAUGAUAAUUACAACACAUAUACGGGUAAAUACUAAGGCUUGAUGCGGCUCCACCCAAUGAUAGCUCCUAAGGUUCGGUAUAUGUGGUUCAGUUCUAGAGAUAAGGUACCUGAACCAGCAGAUUCCUCAACCCUCACCCAUUAUAGCCUCAUAUAGAUCAAGUUCGGUUCAGGGGGAUACAUUUCCCUAUGACCAUGCGGAGAUGAAAAUCUCACGAAAUCAUAGGUAUGGAUGUACCCUGGAAGCAAUCCACUUGCCCAUGCGGAGGUGAAGACCUCACGAAAGCAUAGUUUCUUACUCUCACUUAGAAGGUGUGACCACAGCGGUCAUGCAAUGAAAUGCGAUAUUAUUCUACAGGACCUGAAUCAUGACAAUCAUACAAACAAAUGCAAUCAUGAUUUUCAAAGUAAAUUUUCAAUACUUCGACAAAGGACAACAAAUAAUCGAUUUUAUGGAUAGACUCUCUUGUUUGGUCCCUAGUGGAGUCGUCAAGCUAUCGAAACCAUCUUUCAAAUUUAAAGAAAAAUGGGGAAUCGACUUUUUGAAAAUAAAACGUGGAGUCGCCACCAAUCUUUUUGUUUAGGUGUGAUCGAAUCACCUAGAAAUUUGGUUAUAAAAUAUUUCUUUUUACUAAAACAACGACUUUGGUCUUACGAAAAUAUGAGAAAACGGGUUCGGGAGUCAGUUACGCAUGGGGAAGCAUUAGCACCCUCAUUACGCCCAAAAUUGGUGCCAAAUCGAUUGAAUACUAUCUUUAUGUCUAAGAUUUAAAAAUGUUUUUUGAAAUGUGGUUCCUUUUAUAAACAUUUGAAUAGCCCAAGUUGGUCGUCAAAAUUAUCUCGUUUCAAAGGAAUACAGCAUCACAUCCAGCACGAUAGGCCACAAUCCUUUAUACCCUCGAAAACACGAUAAAUUUCAACUUCCAAAAGUUUAUAUGUUGAAAACCGCAAAAUGAUGCCCAAUUAUUUAGUCCAACGAGAAAAUCGAAACCCAGCACAGUAGGGCACGACUCCUUGAAUUUCUAGACAUCGGACAUUGCCUUAUUUUAGAGUUUAGAGAACAUGAGUGAAAUUCUAAAGGAAUAUUCGGUUAUUUUGAACAAACGAGAAAUCGCAACCCAGUACGAUAGGGCACGAUUCCCGAAUUGCCAAACACCGAGUAUUACCUUUGUUUUAAAGAAUUUUUAAAUGAAUAAUUAUAAAAAUAGCUUAAAACGCAUCAAUGCGACUUGAAAUAAAACAAAAUUAAUCUUAAAGAUUUGGAGCUUAUAAAACCAAAUUUCGUAAACCAAGUGGAAAACAAUGAUAUGGGAUAAUAUACACACAUGAGAUACAAUCGAUUAACAAACUAAUAAUUAAGUAUAACUAACCUAAAAAAUAUAACCCGAUUACGAUCAUGCAUGGGAAAUAAUUGAUAUAAUAAUACAAUGACGAAAAUAAUAAUAUAACAAUACAACACAACCAAAACAAUACACACAAUAAUAUGCCACAAUAAUAUACAUAGCAUGAUAGAAAAUAAUCAAUGCAAGAUGUAAAAAAAAAGAAACAAAAUAGCAAUUAGAAGCCAAUAUGCUAUAAAACAAUUUUAAAAUAAUGACGAAUAAAUGAACAGAUAAUAUAUAGGUUAACAAAUUUGCAUAAAAACUAGGGAUAUAUAAUUAUUGAAACAGAUAUUAUAGAAAUAAAGUUUAAAUUAAAUCAUAUGCAAAAUAUUUUAAACACAAAUUCAUUUAAAAAUUGACAAGGUACGUGUUUACUUAAAAAUAUGAAAAAAAUGGUGGAAUACAUGAUAAGAUAUAUGUACCAAACAUAUAUAUAUAAAUAUAUUUAGGAAUAAUUAUUUGUAAAAAAGGCAUGAAAUGAAUGAUGCAUACAAAAUUAAGUUAGCUUAUGAAUUAUAUAUGUACCAUUAUACAAAAAGAACACUUAAAAGAAAUACUAAAUAAGGUACUAAGAUAAUGUAAUAUCGAGAAACGUUUAAAAAUAAUAAUUUUAUAAACGUAAAAAUGAAAUUCUCAAAAUAUUGUCAUAUAUACAUAAAAAUGUUAAGUGAAUCACGAAUCAAGAAAUAUUUUAAAUAGAAAACUCUAUCAAAAUAAUUUAUGUAUCAAUAUAUAAAAAUAUUUAAACAAAACUUUAAUAAUAAGGUAUUAAAAUAGUUUAAUGUAAAAAUAAUUUUAAAACGAUGUUCUUGUCAAAAAAUAAAUAAGAAUAUUGUUAACUUCAAAAUAAUGGUUAUUAUAAAUUAAAAUUUUAAUGAGAAUAGUGUGUAUGCAAAGAUGCAUAAAAUAUUUAAAAAAUAGGAUGCACAAUGUGAGAAUAAUAAGAUCAAAAAUAUCCAAAAUAAUUGUACAAAUAUUAAAAUGAAUCAACACAUGUACAAACGUUAAAUAUAUUGCAAAAUAAUAGGCUAUACUAGUAAAAGACUGAAUUAAAAUUGAAUUUAAAUGAGAGGGAUAAUUUGAAAAUAAAACAAUAACAAUAAAAAGGACUAAUAUGCGAUGCGCGCAAAUGCGUGGGGACUCAAGCUGGAAAUAACCCAGCUCUCAAAACGCAGUGCUCAGGCGCGGAUCCAUUUGUAAACAAGCGUAAAUUACAGGGCUACAUUAAAAGAAUAAAUAAAACAAAUGGUAUGCGAUUGAACGAUCGCGCAAAGGGGGAAGGACCAAAUGGACAAAUUUCCCAUUGAUGGGAAACACGCGGAUCCUUCCCGGGUCGGGUCACGCACGCGGGUCAUGCCAUGAAACGACGCCGUUUUUGGAGCCACUGAAUCAAGCUCUAAACGACGUCGUAUUCAGUCCUUUAAAAGGGCUUCAAUUUGGCUUUUCAGUUACAUUAACCCUAGCCCCUCCCCCCCCCCCCCUUUUCCUUCAGCUGAACCCUAGGUCCUCCCUUCUCAAGCACCAAACCGCCAUCAAGAAUGGCGUCUCGCCCUUCUGGCUUCGACUUACUGCUCUUUGGCCUCAAAACCCCCUUUAGCUUCGAUUUCGACGAAGCAAGAGUGGAUCGACGGCCAAAUCGCACGGUAUAGCCUCUUUUUCUCUCUUUCUUUGCUUUCUAUUAUAAUGAUGAAUGGAUCGAAGGAAAAAUGAACCCUGGAAAUGCAAAAGCUUCAAGAAAGUUGAGUAAAAAUCACCUUUUUCUAUUUGGUUGCUUUCUAUUGCUUGUGUGUAAAAAAAAAAAAAAGACCUUACAAUCGCUGUGUUCUUGGCUUUUAUAGCCGAAACAGAAAAAAGAAUAAAAUAAAUAAAAUUUUUCUCUUUCUUUUUUUUGCUGUUGUUGUGUUUGUCUCAUUCGUUUGCAGGUACGGAGUACGAGGCAUGCGCUAGCCCUUGGAGUGAGGCGUACGAAGGCGCGGGCGUGGCUAAGGCUGCUGGAGCGCUGGAGGCUAGCUGCGGCGCAAGCAUAGGCUAGGGUUUCUGCCUUGGUUUUGGCUUUUGGGCAUUGGGCCUAUUUGUAUUUGGGCUGGUUUUAUCAUUAGGCUUGGUGUAUUGGACCUUUAAACUGGGCAUUUAAUAGACUGUUAACAUUUAGAUUUUUUGUUUAUUUAUUUGGGCUUUAAUGUAGACCCGAGCAAAUUGGCCCGUUUACACUAAGUUUUUCAUAUUUUUUUCUUAAUUUGGUACGACACACUCACACACUUGGAGAAGAUGAUGAAAUAUUUCUGCUCUUUCCAUCCACUAGAAUAUAUAUAUAAGCAAUUAAACAUUGAAUUAUGGUAAUUAAACUUAAUUAACCUUUAAAAGAUUAGCAAUUAAUGUUAUUCAACUAAGUAUAAUGAAUGUAUAAGAUCAUAUUUUACCACUUCAUGAACCAAUAAAGGCC